rfam:Prunus persica cultivar Lovell chromosome G1, whole genome shotgun sequence.
UCUGUUGUCAUCUAGUUCGGUCAGAUGUCUGGGUUUUACCCAGUUUUCCUGGGUUCAAAUCCCGGCAACGGAU